UACGGGGGGUGCGAGCGUUGUCCGGAAUCACUGGGCGUAAAGGGCGCGUAGGUGGCCUGAUAAGGGUGUGGUGAAAGUCCGGGGCUCAACCCCGGAUCUGCCGUGCCGACUGUUAGGCUAGAGUACUGUAGGGGCAGGCGGAAUUCCGGGUGUAGCGGUGGAAUGCGUAGAGAUCCGGAGGAAGACCGGUGGCGAAGGCGGCCUGCUGGGCUAUGGCUGACACUGAGGCGCGACAGCGUGGGGAGCAAACAGG
rnacentral:rRNA from 1 species